rnacentral:rRNA from 1 species
UACGAAGGGGGCUAGCGUUGUUCGGAAUUACUGGGCGUAAAGGGUGCGUAGGCGGUUCUUUAAGUCAGAAGUGAAAGCCCUGGGCUCAACCCGGGAAUUGCUUUUGAAACUAUUGAACUUGAGUAUAGGAGAGGUGAGUGGAAUUCCCAGUGUAGAGGUAAAAUUCGUAGAUAUUGGGAGGAACACCAGUGGCGAAGGCGGCUCACUGGCCUAUUACUGACGCUGAGGCACGAAAGCGUGGGGAGCAAAC